UACUUGCUCAUGUCCACGCUUGUUUGUUUGACAGAGUUUAAUUGAGAAUAAUAAAUACAACUUUUAACAACGGAUCUCUAGGCUCUUGCAACGAUGAAGAACGCAGUAAAGUGCGAAAAGUAAUGCGAUUUGCAUGAACUGUGAGUCAUUUAAUAUUUGAACGCAACUUGCGCCAUGGCAUGUCCAAGGCAUGUUUGUUUGAGGGCCUGAAACAGGUAGGUACUAGUGAUAGUAUCUGAUGUGACUGCUGUCUGGAAGGAGGUGUGGGUAGGUUUAACAAUCUAUCAACAUGACUCCGAGACACGGUUUAAAAAGAGUUAGAAAAUGAAUAUAUUUGUGUUUAUCAAGUGCUAAGCAUUCUCGAUAGAUGUGAGUAUAGUCACUGGAAGAUGGAUGGAUGUAACAAUCUGCUCAUCAACCAACUCGAACACAUUGGCCUCAAAUCAAACAGGAUUACCCGCUGAACUUAA
rnacentral:rRNA from 1 species